rnacentral:rRNA from 1 species
UACAGAGGUCUCAAGCGUUGUCCGGAAUUAUUGGGCGUAAAGAGCUCGUAGGCGGUUUGUCGCGUCUGCUGUGAAAACUCGGGGCUUAACCCCGGGCCUGCAGUGGGUACGGGCAGACUAGAGUGCGGUAGGGGAGACUGGAAUUCCUGGUGUAGCGGUGAAAUGCGCAGAUAUCAGGAGGAACACCGGUGGCGAAGGCGGGUCUCUGGGCCGUAACUGACGCUGAGGAGCGAAAGCGUGGGGAGCGAACAAG